GGCCCUAGAAGUGCAGUUCCACCGCGACUCGCAGCAGCAGGAGGCUGAGACGGCGCCAACCUCGUCCUCCGGUUGCGGGGGCGGUGCGGGCAAACCUCGCGAGGAGAAGAGGACGGCCCUGAGCAAGGUGGUCAUCCGCCGCCUGCCUCCGGGCCUCACCAAGGAGCAGCUGGAGGAGCAGCUGCGCCCGCUGCCAGCACACGACUACUUCGAGUUCUUCGCCGCCGACCUGAGUCUUUAUCCUCAUCUCUACUCAAGAGCAUACAUUAAUUUUAGGAAUCCUGAUGACAUCCUUCUUUUUAGAGAUCGUUUUGAUGGAUAUAUCUUCCUUGACAGCAAAGAUCCAGAAUAUAAGAAGUUUUUAGAAACCUACUGGGUGGAGGAAGAGAAGACCAGUGCCAACCCUGAGACUCUGCUGGGGGAGAUGGAGGCGAAGACAAGAGAGCUCAUUGCUAGAAGAACCACACCUCUUUUGGAAUAUAUUAAAAAUAGAAAAUUAGAAAAGCAGAGAAUUCGAGAAGAGAAGCGAGAAGAACGGAGGAGGAGAGAGUUAGAAAAGAAACGUUUGCGGGAAGAGGAAAAAAGAAGAAGAAAAGAAGAAAGAUGCAGGAAAAAAGAGACAGAUAAACAGAAGAAAAUUGCAGAGAAAGAAGUGAGGAUUAAGGUCACACAGCGGCAGUGAUAAAGAGCACAGGGAUGUGGAGAGAUCUCAAGAACAAGAAUCUGAAGCACAAAGACACCAUGUGGAUGACGGCAGGAGGCACAGAGCUCACCACGGGCCUGAACGGCUUUCCAGAAGGAGACCGGCCAGCCUUGCAGCUGUAUGAUCCAGGAGCUCGCUUCCGAGCGCGAGAGUGUGGCGGAAACAGGAGGAUCUGCAAGGCAGAAGGUUCGGGGACUGGUCCUGAGAAGAGGGAAGAGGCAGAGUGAGUCACUGCAUGCACCUGGCCUCCAUGGACGAG
rnacentral:sRNA from 1 species